UACAGAGGGUGCAAGCGUUAAUCGGAAUUACUGGGCGUAAAGCGUGCGUAGACGGUUGCGUAAGUCGGGUGUGAAAUCUCGGAGCUUAACUCCGAAACUGCAUUCGAUACUGCCGUGCUUGGGGACUGGAGAGGAGACUGGAAUUUACGGUGUAGCGGUGAAAUGCGCAGAUAUCAGGAGGAACACCAGUGGCGAAGGCGGUGCUCUGGGCCGGAACUGACGCUGAGGAGCGAAAGCGUGGGGAGCAAACAGG
rnacentral:rRNA from 1 species